GUAUUAAUUAAAUAUAUCAAAGAUUUUAUAUGUUACGUUUAAAAGGAAAAAAAAUAAUACAACUAAGAUCAUAUAACGAUUAUAAUAUCAGGAUCCUUAGAGUCAGGUGGAAGAUUGUUUCUGGUGUUUGAAAGGAGAAGAAAGAAAAAAAGAGAGAAGAAAAAAAGAAAAAGAAAGGAAGGACGAAGACCAGUAGCACGUGCCAACACUCUUGCUCGUUACGAAUCACAUCCUUGUUCUUCGUAGGUACCUGGCAAACUGUCGCUGAAAGUCGUCGUUAAAGUCUCCCGCCCCCGUGUGCAUUCUUGAAACGAAAAUUACAGGGCCAUUGUCAGAGAUCUCUUUUGGUUGGUGCGUUCGCCGAAACAUUUCGCUUGCGUUUGGGUUGCGCUGCAUGCAGCAGUGCUUGCGUGGCCUUCGCAUUUGCUACCACGCGCGCUAAUGAUGCCGGUUAUUAGGAGAACGCCGCUCGAACUUUCGUGCUCGCGAAAGAAAGGAAGGAAGGAGAAGGAUGGUGAUGGAAGGAGAAACGGUCAUUAUCGAGGAUGACUGGCAGGGAGGUCAUCGUCGUCGCUCCAGUCGAACGCUUCUACCGAACUGGACCUUACAAUAUAUUCUCUGGUGUGUACAAAACCUGCCGAAGUCAUUAACGUUUCCAUGAUCAACUUAGUUUACGGAGAAUCGAGACACGUAACUCGAACAAAAGUUUUACGUAUUCAUUUUGGCAUGCUCGUGGAAGGAUUUUCUUGAAACUCGAAAGGAAAAGGGACGAAGAGCAAACGAAACGUUUAAGAUCUUGAAACGAAGUAACGCUUGUUAUAGCGAUUAUAUGAGAAGGAACGUUUAAUUGGAGUACCUCCAGGAAAUGUUGGAAUUAGGAAGAGAAACCUAGCUGAGCUAUGAGUCUCAGCUACGAUAAGAUUCUUGAAAAGGGAUGAGGGUGGUUGGUUGAAGUUGCAUCAGAAACACGAGGGUGUUACCGGAAGCCGGCUUAUCGGCUAAUGUCACUUUAACAUUGUAUCGAGUUAUUGGACGACUCCUUGCGAGCCGAUUAAUUAAGCUAAUUAUCGUUUCCGCACGGAUGGCCACGGUCGGAGAAUACGCUUGGAGACAAAUCGUUUUCGCGUGCACUUCGGAGAAGGCGUUACGCUUCUCGCGUCUCUUGCGAAUCCUUGGAGUAGUAAGAGGAAUCUUCUUUCACGCCUCGUUGCACGAACGCCUAUUAACCUUCCUGAGAUACUGAGAUGCGAUUGUUGACUGUGAAAGAAGGAAGGAAAGAAGGAAGGAAGGAAGGAAGGAAGGAAGAUCGAGACACGGAGUAUCCAUGAUGACAAGAAGGAUCCGGAGAUGAGCAAGAGAGGACGGGAGGGUCGCAUUCCAUCGUUCUGAGAUUUAUUUGCCGAAUAAACGUUGAGGAGGUAUUUUUAAUGGUCGACAAUAGUGGCCCGAUAGUGAUCUCAGAAACGUAUUGUCGUUCGCUGUCGUAUAUAAUCCCGGAGGCAUCGACGCGACCAACAAAACGGCUUCUCUCCCUCUCCUUUUCUUUCUCUGUCUCUCUCACUCUCUCUCUCUCUCUAUCUAUCUCUCUCUCUUUCUUUCUUUCUCUUGCACACGCCAGAUCUUUCCUCGUAUCUCUCUUCCUCGGCUUAUCGAGCACCAAAGAGGAGACGAUCCUUAUUCCUCUCUUCGAUCUUUCGACCUGCGAUUAUUCUCUCUCUUUUUCUUUUUCCUUCUCUCUGAUUCUCUCUCUUUCUCUGUAUUUCUCUCUCUCUCUCUCUCUCUCUUUCUCUGUCUCUCUCUCUUUCUCUAGCUCUCUGUUUCUUUUUUCCUCUUUUCUUUCUUUCGAUCAACUAUCUUCUCUCGUUCUCAUUCUCACCACUUUAACGUGCACUACUCACCUGCCGAACCCUUUUGAAGUCGACUCUUUUGUAAAUCGACGUUAUUAUUCUAAUUGAAUACUUGUCUCCCGGAGGGAUAUCUCUUCUCGCCAAAGGUUACUAUGUACUUACAUACAAUAUACCGCGUACCGAUUAAAUUGAGACUAAUGUAAAGAGAAAUCGUGCCUUUUCUAUCUUUUCUUCAUUCAUUCUUUUAUUCCCUUUUCUCAAAUAUAAUAUGUAUACCUCA